AUUGAACGCUGGCGGAAUGCUUUACACAUGCAAGUCGAGCGGCAGCGCGGCCUUCGGGCUGGCGGCGAGCGGCGAACGGGUGAGUAAUGCAUCGGAACAUGCCCAGUCGUGGGGGAUAACACUUCGAAAGAAGUGCUAAUACCGCAUACGUCCUGAGGGGGAAAGCGGGGGAUCGCAAGACCUCGCGCGAUUGGAGUGGCCGAUGUCAGAUUAGCUAGUUGGUGGGGUAAAGGCCUACCAAGGCGACGAUCUGUAGCUGGUCUGAGAGGGUGAUCAGCCACACUGGGACUGAGACACGGCCCAGACUCCUACGGGAGGCAGCAGUGGGGAAUUUUGGACAAUGGGGGCAACCCUGAUCCAGCCAUUCCGCGUGAGUGAAGAAGGCCUUCGGGUUGUAAAGCGCUUUCGGCAGGAACGAAACGGUGGGCUCUAACAUAGUCCGCUAAUGACGGUACCUGAAGAAGAAGCACCGGCUAACUACGU
rnacentral:rRNA from 1 species